CAAACCAAAGCUGGCGACCGGCGCACGGGUGGGUAACACGUAUCCAACCUGCCUCAUACUCGGGGAUAGCCUUUCGAAAGAAAGAUUAAUAUCCGAUAGCAUAUAUUUCCCGCAUGGGUUUUAUAUUAAAGAAAUUCGGUAUGAGAUGGGGAUGCGUUCCAUUAGUUUGUUGGGGGGUAACGGCCCACCAAGACUACGAUGGAUAGGGGUUCUGAGAGGAAGGUCCCCCGCAUUGGAACUGAGACACGGUCCAA
rnacentral:rRNA from 1 species